rnacentral:rRNA from 1 species
UACGGAGGGGGCAAGCGUUGCUCGGAAUUAUUGGGCGUAAAGGGCGCGUAGGCGGUCGUGCGCGUCGGAGGUGAAAUCCCCGGGCUUAACCCGGGAGCUGCCUCCGAUACGGCAUGGCUUGAGUCCGGGAGAGGGGAGCAGAAUUCCCAGUGUAGCGGUGAAAUGCGUAGAUAUUGGGAGGAAUACCGGUGGCGAAGGCGGCUCCCUGGACCGGUACUGACGCUGAGGCGCGAAAGCGUGGGUAGCAAACAGG